AUGGAUUCUGAAGAGACUGAUGCUGUGGCUGACAGUAAGGGAGAGGGUGCAAGAGUAGUGGANCAAGAAGCUCCAUUGGAAAGAUCUGCUAGUGAGGUGGAGAGAAAGAGAUCGGGAGUGCUUAAAGAGACAUCUGUGGGUCAGGGGCAGGAUGAAGUCUUGGCUGGGUCAAGUCAAGGAGACCCAGAGGGUGUGAGAGAGAAAGAAGAUGAGUUAGAAGGAACAAAUCAGGAUACGUUUAGUGAUUUGUCAGGGAUAAAACAAGAGGUUUCUGAAGGUGUAGAGGAAGAAGGGGCUGAGGGUGGGGACGGGGCUGAGGACUUAACUGAACAAUCAGAAGAUUUGGAGGGACUGGAAAUUGGGGAGCAUGAGGAGUCUAAUAAUAGGGAGGGAGAGGAAGCCGAGGAAUUGGACAAAGAGGAGGAAGCAAAUGCAUUUGGAAGUUCAGAUGAGAAGGAAGCUGAAAGGGAGACUGAGGAAGCCGAGGAAUUGGACAAAGAGGAGGAAGCAAAUGCAUUUGGAAGUUCAGAUGAGAAAGAAGCUGAGGAGACUGGAGAAGGAAAGGAGUCUAGGGACCCAAAGGAAGUUGUCCAAGUGCGUGAAAUGGAGUUGUCUGAAGAAGAUGAAAUGGUAUUAGAUGUUAAGGAGAAUCAGGCUGAGGAGAAAGCUGGAGAAGAAAUGGACCAUUUGGCACCAAAGAAGUCUGUGCNUUUUGAAGAAAAAGAGCUGGGUGCAGGAGAGGACACUAGAUUAGAGGUUGGUGAGGAAGAGGUUGAGGCACUGAUGAGAGCGGGUCACGGGAGCGAAAAGGAUUUGAUCAGAAAAGGCAGUGCAAAUGCUGAAGAAAUUAGUGAGAAGAGAGAGGAUGAACAUGAGCUGNUUGAGAAGACUGUUAAGGUGGAGAUGACUGAUAGGGAACGUGUGCACUUGAUGAUGGAGGAGGCUGAAGAGAUCAUGGAAUCGGAUCAGAGGCAAGAGGGUGAAGAGAGUCUAAGGAAAGUUGUUGAAAUAAGAGAGAGUCAGACAGAGUUGAAGGGGCUGUCAGAACUAGGACAAAAGGAAGAUCUGGGUCUAACUGGAAAAGAUGUGGCACCUGCAGUAGCCCAUGGUGAAGCUGAGCAAGGGUCGGUUGAGCAGGAUGAAAUAUCAGCAGUGAAUCAGAAGGAGGAUGAACUCUUGGUUGGGCUAGGUCACGAGGGGCUUGAUGAAUCGGUUGGAUCCCGUGAGGUGGAUACUGUUCUGGAAGACCUGGCUUCAGCAGAGGGUAAGGAGGAGUCUGAAGACUGGGUGGCUCCAAGUCAGGAAGAGACACAGGUGGUGGCUGUAAAGGAAUUUAUAGAAGAAGCAGCGUAUCCUGGAACUAAUGAAGUUCCAGUGGAAGAAAUAAGGGAGGCAGAGGGGCACACUGCAGGGACAGAGAUAGGCAUGACUGAGAAAACGUCAUUGGAGGAGGCAAGACCAAGGGGUGUUGAGGAAGUGAUGGCAAAAGAAAGUGUGUCAUCAGNACUAGACCAGGGGAUUACUGGGAAGGCCACAGGAACAGACAAGAGUGAGGUGCAGCAGGUGAUUGCAGAGGGAGAUGUAACAUUAGUGGAAGACCAGAGGAAGCUUGAGGAUUUUGCUGGGGCAGGUAAAGGGGACAUUGAGGAGAGUCUGGUAAUAGCAAUGGAAGAGCAGGAGGCAGAGAAGGUGGCAGGAGCAGAUCAGAGAGAGACAGAAGAGGUAAUUGCUCAGGGAGAUGUAGGGUCAGCAGUAGCUGAAGAGGGGGUGAAGGAUUUGAUAGUGACAAGUCAGCAAGAAGCUGAGAAUGUGACAGGAACAGAAGAUAUGGUGGGAACAGUGGGAAUGGCUGAGAAAGCUCAAGAAAUAGAUCAGAGCGAGGCAGAGGGGAUGACUGCAGAAGCAGCUGACAUUGUGAGAGUAAGUCUAAAGGAGGCAGAAGAAAUUGUGGAAAUACCCAAAAUGGCAGAUGAAGCCCAAGAAGAAACUCCUGGGCUACAUUUGGAUCUGCAGAUGCAGGAUGAGGAGGCUAAAGAAGAUACAAAAGCAGGAUCUGGUGUUGAAAACGUUGGAGAGUUGAAAGAACUGGAAGAGGAAGGAGAAGAAGUGGAAAAGUUAGUAGGGCCAGAUCAAGAGGAAGUUGAGAGGUUGAGUUCAGCUCUCAUGGUUGCCGAGCAGGUAACUGGAGAGGAAGAGGGAGCGGCAGCAGUGAAUUACGAUGCAACUGAAGAAGGAAUGCUGCAGGAUGAGGAUCGGACGAUUGAGGUGGAGAGACCUGGUAGGGGAAGUGUGCACUUGGUGAUAGAGGAGGCUGAGGGUACCGGUAUAGCUGAGGAAAUACAAAGUCAAGAUCAGCAGGCGGCUGCACAGAAGAAGGUUCCAUCUCGGGAAAAGUCGUUAGCUUGGAGCCCGGAAUUUGGAGAAAAAUUAGAAGUACCAGUUCAGAAGAUCGAGUCGUGCCCUAGGCUGAGUCGUGAAGAGGUUCCAGUGGUGGCUAGAGAAGGCUGGGAGACACCUGAUUUGGGAUUUAGCCAAGGUCAGGUAGAACCACGGUUAUUUCAGUCUAGUCUGAAGGNCACUGAAGAACUAGGUAGAGCAGGCUCCUCGGUGGGAUCGUCACGUAUGUCACAACGCACUACCACAGGGAGUCAGGAGAAAGGCGGCAGAAGAAAGGGGAAAAUAAUUCUAGGNUUAGCAGGGCUGCGUCAAGGACCGAUAGUAGUAACGCGUCCUGGGACAGCACGGUCAUCGGGCAUUCGCCCUGGAGUGUUGGAACAUAGAGCUCCGGGCUUGAUUGUCACCAGUUUAACGGCCCAGGCGGAGCAAAAGGACUUGAUAAAGCCAGCUCAUAAGCAGGAGCAAGAGCGCGUUUUAAAACAGAGGGCNACGCGAUCAGCUGAAGUAGGGUAUCACGAGAGAAGCAUUCAUGUGGGCGAAGAAGUAGUUCUGACGGGGUACAGAAUUGGACGGGAAGGGAUGUCCUGUUUCUCGGGCAAAGACAACGUGGCAGGCCCUAUUCAGAUGCCGAGCUUCGCGAAGGCCGAAGAGAAUCUUGAUCAAGAAGAGCUGCCUGAGCAGGAAGAAGUGAUUCGGGAGCAUUCGGCCUUGGAGGCCUUGGAAAAAAGUCUUGAUGACUUUUCAAGUCAAUAUAUAGAAGAGAAGCAGCUGGCUUGGCUUGGUAGGCCGCUGACACAAGAUUAUGGAGCACCACUGCCGCGUGCUGGCUGGACUGCAGGCUUAGGGCCUGGGCACGGGCUUGCUUUAGGGUCGUUGCGUUCGCAGAUUAAAAAACGGAUUGACAUGAUGGUGGAAGGUCAGGGUAUUGCCAAGUCAAGAGGGGCGAGUCCUGAACCACCGGUAUCUGGGCUAGGGAGAAGGUUAUUUGGGCUUGCAGGCAAGUCAGGAGAUGUGCACUGGCUGAAGGAGGUGUUGGGAGCUGGUCAGGCGGCGAGUCAGUUUUCUGUGGCAGGUCAUGGCCCGAAAGGGGGAGGCCAAGGCUUGAAAGCAGAGCGGCGGAGUCCUGGCUUAUUAACAGGGAAGCAGGAGUUGAAAGAUUGGCGGGAUGGAGUGAUGGGGAUUGCAAUUAAAAGAUACAAUGCGAUGAGGCUGGCAAUGUGGGGCGAAGGACCUGCCGGCUUGCACGUGAGAGGGGUCAACGUGAGUGGAGGUUUAGGCGGUGGUUCAGCUAACACGCUUGCAGCUAGUUCCAUUCUGGAAAGGGUUGAACAGAAGGUGUUGAGUCUGGCAAAGCACGUGACUACUGAGAAUGUCCCGGGAUUGGGAGUGGAGGGCCAGGGAUUGACCGAUAUGUGGGUGCAGAACGUGGCAGGCUCAGAACAGGGCGGUAGAGUAACCAGAUAA
ensembl:lncRNA